rnacentral:pre_miRNA from 1 species
AAUAAAUGACGCCGUUAACUUUUUCUCACAUAUUUGAUCAUUCGUCUUAUUCAAAAAAAAAUUAUGUAAUUAUAAUUUAUUUUGCUAUGAGUUGUUUUAUUACUCAUAAUACUUUAAGUGUGAUUUAUAUCUUAUACAUUUGUAUAAAAUUUUUGAAUAAGACGAAUGGUCAAACAUGUGAGAAAAAGUCAACGGCGUCAUCUAUU